ACUGCGGAAGACAUUAACGAGUUCUGAAAUGGGGUUGUUGUUGGCUGUCCCGCCCUCUCGGGGGACAAGGGUACGGCACGUGCACGCCUCUGCUCUUCCAACUCUCAUACCUCUGUGCACUCUCUGUAGGUGGGGUCUGAAGGGCCUGUGCCCCUGUGCAUGGAGCCCGGAUAUGCCUUGCCUAUGUUUCUUCAUGAACCUCUGUCUUCAGGAUGUACAAUUUUGUAUCUAUGUAUACAUUACAAAAAGCAUACAACUUUCAGCAACGGAUCUCUUGGCUCUCGCAUCGAUGAAGAACGCAGCGAAAUGCGAUAAGUAAUGUGAAUUGCAGAAUUCAGUGAAUCAUCGAAUCUUUGAACGCACCUUGCACUCCUUGGUAUUCCGAGGAGUAUGCCUGUUUGAGUGUCAUGGAAUUCUCACAACGUGCCAGGCUUGAAGUCUGGCAUGUCUGUGGAUGGUGGAGGCUUGUGCUGGAUGUGGGUUCACGCCCCGGUUCAGCUCCUCUCAAAAACAUCAGCGCCAAACCCUGCAUGGCUGCUGGCUCAGUGUGAUAAUCAUGUCUGCGCUGUGCUGCACCGAAUGCUCCCUUUGUGCUUCCGAACAUGGCUUUGCCCCCCCGCCACUUCCGUGGCGGUGUGCGAGCCCUCUGACGUUUGACCUCAAAUCAGGUAGGACUACCCGCUGAACUUAAGCAUAUCAAUAAGCGGAGGAAAAGAAACUAACCAGGAUUCCCCUAGUAACUGCGAGUGAAGCGGGAAAAGCUCAAAUUUAAAAUCUGGCAGCCUCUGGCUGUCCGAGUUGUACACUAGAGAAGUGUUUUCCGUGCCGGACCGUGUACAAGUCUCUUGGAAUAGAGCGUCAUAGAGGGUGAGAAUCCCGUCUCUGACACGGACUCCCGGUGCCCUGUGACUACACUCUCAAAGAGUCGAGUUGUUUGGGAAUGCAGCUCAAAUGGGUGGUAAAUUCCAUCUAAAGCUUAAUAUUGGCGAGAGACCGAUAGCGAACAGUUACCGUUGAGGGAAAAGAUUGAAAGGA
rnacentral:rRNA from 1 species